CUGGCGGAUGCGGCUAUUUGGUUCGGGCUUAUGCAUGCAAGUUUAUUCCUCGAUUUAUCGUUGGGAUGGCGAACUGCUCAGUAACACGUAGUCAAUCUACCCAAAGGUUACGGAUAACCACGGGAAACUGUGGCUAAUACGUAAUAGGGGUUCUGUUCUGGAAUGAACGAACCCUGAAACAUUAGGCCCUUGGAGGAGACUGCGGCUGAUUAGCUAGUUGGUGGGGUAACUGCCUACCAAGGCGAUGAUCAGUACGGGCUCUUAGCGGAGUUGCCCGGAGAAGGAAUCUGAGACACUAUUCCUAGCCCUACGGGGUGCAGCAGCAGCGAAUCAUUUGCAAUGUACGAAAGUAUGACAAUGCGAGCCAAAGUGCCUUUCAUUUCGAAAGGCUUUUACCCACUGUAAAAAGGUGGGAGAAUAAGGACUGGGCAAGACCGGUGCCAGCCGCCGCGGUAAUACCGGCAGUUCAAGUCGCAUCCACUUUUAUUGGGUCUAAAACAUCCGUAGCUCGCUUUUUAAGUUUCUUGUGAAAUCCUACGUCUCAAGCGUGGGGCUUGCGGGAAAUACUGGAAAGCUAGAGAUCGGUAGACGUAAGGAGUACACCGGAGGUAGUGGUAAAAUACGUUAAUCUUCGAUGGACUAACAAUGAGCGAAGGCACCUUACGAGGACGAAUCUGACAGUCAGGGAUGAAGGCCAGGGGCGCAAAACGGAUUAGAUACCCGUGUAGUCCUGGCAGUAAACACUGAUCACUAAACAUCGGGCCCUCUUCGGGAGGAUUCGGUGCUGAAGCGAAGGCGAAGAGUGAUCUACCUGGGAAGUAUAGUCGCAAGAUCGAAACUUAAAGGAAUUGGCGGGGAGACAUACAACGAGUGACGCGUGCGGUUCAAUUAGAUUCUACACCGUGAACCUCACCAGGAGCGACAGCAGGAUGAAGGUCAGUCUGAAGGGCUUACCUGACACGCUGAGCGGAGAUGCAUGGCCGACGUCAGCCUGUGCUGUGAAGUGACCGGUUAAAUCCGGUAACAGGCGAGACCCGUGCUCAUAAUUACUACAGAAAUGAGUACAUUAUGAGGACUGCUGUGGUAACACAGAGGAAGGUGCGGGCUACGUUAGGUGAGUACGUCCCUAAUCCCCUGGGCUACACGCGCGCGGCAAUGGUAAGUUCAAUGAGAUGCAACUCCGAGAGGAGAAGCUAAUCCCCUAACACUUAUCUCAGUCCAGAUUGUGGGUUCCAACCCACCCACAUGACGUUGGAAUUCGUAGUAAUCGGAUAUUAGCACUGUCCGGUGAAUAAGUCCCUGUCUCUUGCACACACCGCCCGUCAAACCAACCGAGUUAUGCAGAAAAGACGCCCUUCUGGGAAGAUUUUUUGUAUGACAAGGUGGGUUAAGUC
rnacentral:rRNA from 1 species